rnacentral:rRNA from 1 species
UACGUAGGGGGCAAGCGUUGUCCGGAAUCAUUGGGCGUAAAGCGCGUGUAGGCGGCCCGGUAAGUCCGCUGUGAAAGUCGGGGGCUCAACCCUCGGAUGCCGGUGGAUACUGUCGGGCUCGAGUACGGAAGAGGCGAGUGGAAUUCCUGGUGUAGCGGUGAAAUGCGCAGAUAUCAGGAGGAACACCUAUUGCGAAGGCAGCUCGCUGGGACGUAACUGACGCUGAGACGCGAAAGCGUGGGGAGCAAACAGG